rnacentral:rRNA from 1 species
AGUGAAUAGAUACCCCGGUAGUCCUAGCCGUAAACGAUACUCGCUAGGUGUCGGCCACGGUGCGACCGUUGUCGGUGCCGUAGGGAAAGCCGUGAAGCGAGCCACCUGGGAAGUACGGCCGCAAGGCUGAAACUUAAAGGAAUUGGCGGGGGAGCACCACAACGGGUGGAGCUUGCGGUUUAAUUGGAUUCAACGCCGGAAAUCUUACCGGGACCGACAGCAACAUGAAGGCCAGGCUGAAGACUUUGCCGGAUUAGCUGAGAGGUGGUGCAUGGCCGUCGUCAGUUCGUACUGUGAAAGCAUCCUGUUAAGUCAGGCAACGAGCGAGACCCACGCCCACAGUUGCCAGCGUACUCUCCGGAGUGACGGGUACACUGUGGGGACCGCCGCUGCUAAAGCGGAGGAAGGAAUGGGCAACGGUAGGUCAGUAUGCCCCGAAUAUCCCGGGCUACACGCGAGCUACAAUGGUUGGUACAAUGGGUAUCUACCCCGAAAGGGGAUGGAAAUCUCCUAAAGCCAAUCUUAGUUCGGAUUGAGGGCUGCAACUCG